GAUGAACGCUGGCGGCGUGCUUAACACAUGCAAGUCGAACGGAAAGGCUCCUGCUUGCCGGGGUACUCGAGUGGCGAACGGGUGUGUAACACGUGGGUGAUCUGCCCUGCACUUCGGGAUAAGCCUGGGAAACUGGGUCUACUACCGGAUAGGACGAUGGUUCGGAUGCCAUUGUGGAAAGUUUUUCGGUGUGGGAUGAGCUCGCGGCCUAUCAGCUUGUUGGUGGGGUAAUGGCCUACCAAGGCGUCGGCGGGUAGCCGACAUGAGAGGGUGUACGGCCACAUUGGGACUGAGGUACGGCGCAGUCUCCUACGGGAGGCAGCAGUGGGGAGUAUUGCACAAUGGGGGCAAGCCUGAUGCAGCGACGCCGCGUGGGGGAUGACGGCCUUCGGGUUGUGAACUCCUUUCGCUAGGGACGAAGCGCAAGUGACGGUACCUGGAGAAGAAGCACCGGCUAACUACGUG
rnacentral:rRNA from 1 species